AGGCCGCCGUGAUGUUCAGCACUGGGCUCUGAUCAUCCAUGAGGAUGCAGUGCGCCCAGGACCUUUGACACCUGGGGGUCUGAGGGGCCC
rnacentral:snoRNA from 1 species